rnacentral:rRNA from 1 species
CAGUCGCCGCGGGAAUACGAAGGGGGCUAGCGUUGUUCGGAUUUACUGGGCGUAAAGGGCGCGUAGGCGGGCGAAUAAGUCAGGGGUGAAAUCCCAAGGCUCAACCUUGGAACUGCCUUUGAUACUGUUUGUCUUGAGUCCGGGAGAGGUGAGUGGAACUGCGAGUGUAGAGGUGAAAUUCGUAGAUAUUCGCAAGAACACCAGUGGCGAAGGCGGCUCACUGGCCCGGAACUGACGCUGAGGCACGAAAGCGUGGGGAGCAAACAGGAUUAGAUACCCCGGUAGUCCCUGUCUCUUAUAC